CAGUAGCCGCGGUAAUACGAAGGGUGCAAGCGUUAAUCGGAAUUACUGGGCGUAAAGCGCGCGUAGGUGGUUCAUUAAGUUGGAUGUGAAAGCCCUGGGCUCAACCUGGGAACUGCAUCCAAAACUGGCAAGCUAGAGUAUGGUAGAGGGUGGUGGAAUUUCCUGUGUAGCGGUGAAAUGCGUAGAUAUAGGAAGGAACACCAGUGGCGAAGGCGACCACCUGGACUGAUACUGACACUGAGGUGCGAAAGCGUGGGGAGCAAACAGGAUUAGAUACCCCAGUAGUCCCUGUCUCUUAUAC
rnacentral:rRNA from 1 species